GGAGCCUCGCAGCCCGGGGACGUGUUGUUCCUGCUCCUGCAUCGCACUGCAUGUUGUAACCCACCACUGAAUCAACAACGUGGGAACAGUUCAUAGCAUCAAAAACUUCCUUCGCGUACUGAUGCCAUCUCUCAAGCCUCCAAGCACUGUGAACUGAAACCACAAAACCAUAUGGAAUUUACAUCCCCUGGGUCAGAAGGCAUGCUUUUCUGAUAUUUAACGAGGAGCUUUACUGCCAUUAUGACGAACCAGGAGAAGUGGG